UUUUUAAGAUUAUGUACUUGAAAUGUAUGCUAGUUUAUUUUUUUUUGUUGUAUAGUUUUUUAUUAUAUACUUGUUUGUGUUAUUGCAAUUUGUUUAUUGAAAUCCCCGACUGAAAAUCUUGAAGCUGCAUAGAUUUAAGAUGGGCUCUUGCCAAGUAAUUUCUGGAUCAAUACUCUGUGCAGUACAAUGAUGACUGAAACAACUAACAAACUGUACGAACUGAAAACAUCGUAACUCCUGCAAUGUUCUAAUAGAUGAAAUAACUUAAGUUCCAAGGUGGAAUCGUUCUGGUUUAAAAAUGCGAAGAAUCGCAAAAACCAGACUUCAAAUGGAAUGGAGACUCCAUUUAUGGAGCCAUGAAAUAUUCCGUCCACAAACGGAGUUCAAGACAUUAAUGGACUCCCUCUACACUUCUAACGUGAAGAAAGUUUUCAACACUGAUCGAAGAUUGCCUUGAAGUCUCCCCGUGAGACUUGAAUCCUAGCAAUCAAUCAAUAUUCUGGAAUUGGUCGGAGAAAAAUAUUGAAGCAUCGUCAUAUGGCUGGAUGAAUUUUGGAAGUUGUGUAACAGGAUCUUAUUUCAAUUUACACAACGGAUGACAUAUGAAUCAAUGGAUGAGUUACAUAAAUUGGUCUUUAAUGGUCAGUUCUUUUCAAGCUUGUACACUUCCAAUUAAAAUUAAAACGUAAUGAAUAGUAAAUUUUCGUACUCCAAUAUGAAGGGAACUUCAAUGCAACUAGUAGGAAUGCCUUCUAUUUCCUCUUAAAAUAACCAUAAAACUAAGCAUACUGAAAAUUUUAAAUUUCUUUCAAAUGAAACGGACAAAUUAGAUUCCCACUCCUUACAUUAAUCUGAAGUUAACGGUUUAGGCACACCCCAUCAUUUUCUAUUUACAAAUCAACUCGGUAUCUGAAUAUAAAGCACCAAUGAGUAUAGCUACGACCUGUAUAAUAUUUCUUAAUGGUACAUCCUUUAAAUAUCCAUUUGCUGAACGCAAGUUGUUGUAAUAUCCGAAAUCGAGACAGUAAAACCCAUAGAAUACUUCGAGUCUCUCUGGACACCGGUAAAUUUUAUCUUUACCUCACUUGACUCGCAUGGUACGCAGUGUUCAGAUACUUCAAGUAGUAACCUCGGAUAGAUAUUGAUAACAUCUUCCCGAUACAAAAUAUGCGGUCUUGCAAAUCGAAUUUUCAAAUACUGUCGCUUUUUAGUAUACGAUAAUGCUUUUAAAAUAUUUUCGAACUUUACAUUAAAAAUUCGUAGCUGUUAUCGCAGUAUUUUUUACAUCUAGUUUUUUAUUCUAAAAUUCACUUGAUCAUGUAGGUUUUUGACUUCGGAUCGCCUAAAAAUAGGUCUUCCUGAAACCUUCAAAAAGGAUAGGCUUCUCAAAGUUUAUCGAAAAUUUUAGUACAGUCUAAAAUCGACAAGAGGCUAAAUUUAGUCGCUGUACCUUAGCAACACGAUUUUCGGUGCGAGGUUUUGUGUGUUGGUAAUUAAGUUGCAUCUCGGUCGUUUAUCAGAAAUUUGGAAAGGUAUUUAAAAUUAAACAGUUAAGUAUAAGAUUAUAGUAAAACUUUAGUCUUAAAAUGUAAAGCAUAACUGUUAAAAACGACUCUCGUACAAGUUAGGACAGACUCUCGUACACCACUCUGUUUGUGCAGGAAAU